CUGCUAAUGAUGGGACUUCCUUCUUCUUCAUAGCUCAGUACUACUCCGAGGGCGUGGAGUCCUGGAGACACCUGUGGUCAUUUCAGCUCCUUUCAGCGAGCCCCCCUGUGCCCAGCUGCCACCUGGACCUUAACGAGCGGAGCCAAGGAGGGAAACGGCCCGGAGCUGGGCCCCGGGAAAGGUGGCUGUAGUGUGAGGAGGGUGGCAAGAGUUUAUCGGGACAGCGAGUAGGCUGGACAGGUAAGGCCUCGAACACCAAGCUGAGGGCCCUGGACUUCCUGCUACGGCAGGAACUACCCAAGACUUGGAGCAGGAGAGUGACGGAAGGUGAACUAUGCUUUAAGAAAACUAAGAGGCCGGGCGUGGUGGCGCCGCACACCUGUGAUCCCCGCACCCUGGGUGGCUGAGGCAGGAGGAUCACAAGUUGGAGGCCAGUCUAGGCGACCCAGCAACUUCAUGAGACCCUAUCUCAAAAUCAGAGAUAAAAAAGGGCUGGGGAUGUAACGCUGUGAGAAGGAUGUGGGUUCAAUUCCAAGUACUAGAGGGAAAGAAAGGAAGAAAGUUUUAGUUUUGAUCCUCGUAAGUCAGAAGGUUCAGAGCGGGAGAGGUCAGAUCUAGCGGGCUGGAGAGUUCUGAAGCUUGGCUAGACGGAUGACCAAGGAAGCGUUUAAGGAAUCCAGCCCCGGACUCCCCUUUGAGGGUCUCUCAGGCAGAAGGUGGAGGGAGGCGAGAAUCUGUGUCCUUGGACUCGGCCGUCUCAGUCGUGGGGCUGUGACCAUGAAGAGGAGGGCAGGCCUGGCAUAGGGGCCCGGUGAGUCCCGCUCCCCUCUGCCUACUGUAGGGUCCCAGAGGGAGGAAGUACGAGGAAAACCAUCAAGCCGGGCCAGAAGAGCUGCUUUGAAACUGGUGUUCUCCCUGCAGAACACAGAAGAAAAUUCAGUAUGGGAGAAGAUGAUGACAGGAAUGUUCAGGCACCCUGGGGUCUGGGAGGCUGAGGAGCUGGGAGCAUCCGCGCAUGGAGUGCAUGGAGCUUCAGAGGGGAGGGUGGGGCUCAGAUCCCUCGGGCCCCGCACUCCAGGGGGGCACACGGUGGGCUCCAGGGAUGCACACAGCCCUCUUCCGAGGGAGGCUCUCUGGGCAUCCGGAGAGCGGGCUUCGAAGUCUGGCUGUACCGAUGGACCGUCUGUGUGGCUGAGCAGAUCGCCUGUGCCUGUGAGCAGCAGCCUGUUCUGUAGAAAGUGCAGGCUUCGAGCAGCUGGCUUGUGUGGUCUUCAUGGUGACCUGAUGAGGGGACACAUGUGAGGCUGGGCACUGUGCCCAACACCCUGGAGGGCAGCGCUAGGAGCAGUUCUGAAAAAUGCCACUCCCUGAGAAGCCAGGGAGCCGUGUUUCACUCAGUGUUAAGAGAUGAGGCCAUAGGAAGGUGCCAAUCCUCCUGUUUGCUGCUACCUGUUCCAUGUGGCUCUGGGUGUAUGCUCGGUGGCUCCUCUGCCUCUGAUUUCUAGGACUUGAAGAGAAAUGACGGUCCCUGGCUGCUGCAUUUAAUUGGACAGGAGCACAGAGACUGAGACUGUAAUUAUGACGUCUUAAAUGUCAAACUCUUCAAAAGUCUGCUGUGCCCUCGCUGUCACCCUGAACAGCUCUGGGAACCAAAGCCUCGUACCCCCUCCCCUGCCCCUGAGCUCGUCCUGGGUCUCAGCCAGGCUUCACCUGGGAAAUCUGAGUGACAGCGACGCGCAGGCGGCUGGAAGACGCACAGUGAGCCAGGAGCCUGUGAUGAGCUCAGAAGAGGGUCUCACUAUAUGGUUCAGGCUGACCUUGAACUCACUGUGUAGCCCAGGUUGGCCUCAAACUCGUAACAAUCCUCCUGCCUUAGCCUCCCAAGUGCUGGGAUUACAGGCAUCCGCCACCACGGCAGGCUGGGAUCCGGUUUUCUUACCAGUAAAAUGGGGAUAAUAACAGAAGCUGCCUCACCAGGUCCGGGUGAAGAGUAAUAGAUGUAACAUGCAAGGUAGAAAUGUCUGGCACGUGGAGAGCUCGACAACAGGUCUCAGUAGAGGCCCCCUGGAUGUCACACCCGGGCACACAGUGAGGUGCCGUGAUGUGUCCUGAUACAACUGCCUCUGCUCCACCACGGUGAUCGCGCUGGGAGGCGGGAGAGAUCUGCAGCUACUGGGGUGGGGAGAACGAUUUGGAACGUGGUCUUCGUGAUGCUCCCCCAGGUGCGCUCCCCGGGGUGCUGUGAGCACCAGGGUCAGGCCCCGCGUUAGAGCUGGCAUCUACAGGAAAGCGGUCCCGAUAGUGUCCACUAAUAAGAGUGCCUGCCUUAGACUGUGCAAAAGAUGGGGUGUGGGAUGGAUGGAGGCAGCGGGCGAUUAGACCAUGGUGGAGGGAGACAGCACCAGCGAUAUAGCUGCGACAAGCUGAAAAGCAAGGGGGCUGAAAGGCCGGGCAAUGAAGCUCAGACACAGGGAAGUCACAGGGAGCCCUCGGAGGCCGUCGGGCAGUGAUGUGCUCAGCUGACAGGGUGGAGGUCUAGGCUCCUGGGCACAGAAUCUUCGAAUGAACCAGCAUAUACAAAUAUGCAAAAAUCUGGGCAUGGUGGCACACGCCUGUGAUCCCAGCACUCGGAGGCCAAGGCAGGAGGAUUACCACAAGUUCGAGGCCCGCCUGGACUACACAGUGAGUUCAGGGCCAGGCUGAACUAUCAAGCAAUACCCUGUCUCAAAAAACAAACAGGGCCAGGGAUUUAGCUCAGUGGUUCCGCGGCCUGCCUUGAAAGCACAAGGACCCGAGUUUGAUCCCCGGUACCAGACAAACAAACAAACAAAAACAAAUGUGCAAAAGUGGGAGACCACACACACAGUCAGGUCAAAGACGGGGGAGGCUCUUGGGGUGAGAAAUGGUCCCACUUCGAGCAGGAGUGGUCUCCCUCUCCCCUGCUCCCCACCAGGAACACAGCAGGGAAACAGCGGCACGUGCUUGCUGGAGGAAUUCCGGGAGAAGGUUCCCCCUGGGCAAACUGAAUCAAUACCAUUUCAUAGGUUGACUGACGAAGAGGAGGAUGAAGCGUUGGGAGCCAUCCCGUCGGCAGAGUGCAUCUGGCCGGUCACAUAAGUCAGGAAGACUCGAUUCAGCCGACAAAUAUUCUGUGCACCUCCCUGGAAGUGCACUGUUGUGCAAGAAGUGGUUUGGCAGGGAUUCUCUCCUUUCAGCUGCAGGCCAUGGAGGGCAGGAGGCCUCUGCUUGCCAAGGAGGAGAGGCCAUAGGACGAAGGCUCCGUCUGGCCUGAGCUUCUGCAGAGUGUGCCCGAAUCCGGCUGCAGGGGCAGUUGGGGGGGGGGGGGCGCGAGCACAAACCUCUUCCCUCAGGGCAGGCAAGGUGCUGAGCUCCUGUCACAGUCCUGCCACAGCC
rnacentral:lncRNA from 1 species